rnacentral:tRNA from 2 species
GACUUAAAUCCGUUGGCUUUAUAGACCGUGAG